GGGCAUUCGAACUGCAGCUCCCAACCCCU
rnacentral:rRNA from 1 species